CGUCGCCGCUGCUGCUCUUGAUGCCAUGAAAGGGCGACGCUGGGAAGUGCGCGUGGCAGUUGCGCAGUCGUGCAAACGGAGCAUUCGGGUUGCGUGGGUUGGGGCGCUCUGGGAGCUACCCAACUGUGCGGCGCUGGCCGAGGCCGCUGGAUCCCGGCCUCCGACCCCAGCGGCGGCCUUCCGGACAUGAACUCCGGGGCCGCGUGCGUCUGAGGUCCGAGUCUGCCUUGGUUUGCUCACAGCCGACUAGCACCGAACCGGGAACAGUAAACACCGUUACGGUGAAGUGAAGGAAGCAACUAUCACCGGAGCCUAUCUGAAGCGAUGGGGCAGAUCCGCCUGGAUUCAUUCAGCUGAAGAACAAAUAGGCAUAAAGGCAUGAAGACUCAUCUGGCCGAUGGAUACAGCCAACAGGGAACCGUAAGCAACAGUGUGGACAUGCAAAGGCUGGAAGCCUGCUGGAUGGUGUUGGCGCACACCUUUAAUCCCAGCACUCAGGGGGGUGAGGCAGGCGGAUCUCUGCUGUCCAUCUUUCCUCCAGCUUCAGAGAUAAGCAGAAGGGGUGCUCUCUCUCCCAUCUGAGCUGCCUGGAGCUCACAUCCUAAGAAGUGGUGUUUUUCCCAAGAGAAGCUACCACAGAGCAAGCCUCCUUUCUUGGGGUCCGGCAUCCUGGGCUGCUCCCCAUAUGGAAAGAAAUGUGGACAGUGAUCAACAGUCUGUCGGGCAGUGAAGGCCAGACUCUGAAUCUUGCGGUUGUGUUCCUUCUAAGUUCUCUUUCUUGCUUCAUAACCUUGGGCUAACCCCCAUGCUCACAAAGCUGUCACCUUGCCUUGAGGGCAUGGGGCCCUUGGAGACCACAUGAGCUCCAGCUAAGCAGUAUUCAGUUCCUGUCCCUGCCCAGAACAGGUCACCCCUGCAGGACUGAGAACCUUUGCAGACUCAAAGUAAACCAAAGUCUGGUCUCAGCAAGGUACUCCCCCAUGGUACUCCCCGAGCUAUCCAUAGGCAUAACCAGCCCUGAUCCCUGUGUCCAGUUCAGGACUAUUCUGGCCAGAUCUGCUCCAAAGGCUUUCCUGUUCAGAUUUACCUGGCUUUGUCACAUGAUUUCUUAGAUGAGAGAAGACACUUCUGCCAGAAUCUUCCUGUCCUGUCUGCCCUAAAAUGUGGACUGGCUGUUCCAGUGGGAUUCCCAAGAAGCAAGCAUUAUCCACUGACAGCAUUGACUGCAGCUUAUGCUACUUUGUAACUUUCCAUUUCAACUCUGAGGUGUUGGGGGCAGGAGAGCUCUAAGUACCUGCCCAUCUAAACCACUUUCCUGUAACUUGAGUGAGUCAGUUUGGUUUCUUGAGUCUCCAUUUUCCAUCUGUAAAAUGGAAUAGAUAAUGGGUGUUUCCAUUGUCUGACUCCUGAAGGCAAGUUAGAGUUGUGCAUUUUGUGAACCAUGAGCCUGCCUCUCAAACACUCACUGGGCCUCCAAGCCCAGGAUGAGUCUUCCAGGCAGUCCGCUUUCACAGGUAGUGCUUGGAAGGCUCUUCCUCGAUGGUGGAGGGUAGAGGGCAGCAUUCCUGGCACACUGUGGGUAUGGCCUGCCAGAUUCCCUGGCCCCGCCCAGCUGCGUUCCAGUUUCUGAUGUCAAUUAGUUCUGCUGACUUCAUCAGGGAGGAAGCUUGGGAAGAUAACCAGGCAGGCCUAAGUGUA
rnacentral:lncRNA from 1 species